rnacentral:ncRNA from 1 species
UCGGGGUGUUCACGGGAGUCCGGUAGUCCGGGCUGAGAGGAAGGCUCAAGCCUUCGACCGUCAAACCUGAUCUGGGUAAUGCCAGCGCAGGGAGGCACAUCUCCGAGCAG